ACGAACGCUGGCGGCGUGCCUAAUGCAUGCAAGUCGCACGCACUGCCUUCGGGCAGUGAGUGGCGGACGGCUGAGGAACACGUGGGUACCUGCCCGACCGUGGGGGACAACCCGGCGAAAGCCGUGCUAAUCCCGCAUACGCUCCGCAAGGAGGAAAGCAGCAAUGCGCGGUCGGAGGGGCCUGCGGCCCAUCAGGUUGUUGGUGUGGUAACGGCGCACCAAGCCGAUGACGGGUAGCUGGUCUGUGAGGAUGACCAGCCAGACUGGGACUGAGAGACGGCCCAGACUCCUACGGGAGGCAGCAGCAAGGAAUUUUCCCCAAUGGGCGCAAGCCUGAGGGAGCAACGCCGCGUGCAGGAAGACGGCCUUCGGGUUGUAAACUGCUUUUUCGGGGGAUGACAUUGACAGUACCCCGAGAAUAAGGCUCGGCUAACUCUGUGCCAGCAGCCGCGGUAAGACAGAGGAGCCAAGCGUUGUCCGGAUUGACUGGGCGUAAAGCGCACGCAGGUGGUCAGGCAAGUGUCGUGUGACAGCGGCCCGCUUAACGGGUCGAGGCCAUGGCAGACUACCUGACUGGAGGUCGUGAGAGGUCCGUGGAAUUGCCGGUGUAGUGGUGAAAUGCGUAGAGAUCGGCAGGAACACCCAAGGGGAAGCCAGCGGACUGGCACGAUGCUGACACUGAGGUGCGACAGCGUGGGGAGCGAACCGGAUUAGAUACCCGGGUAGUCCACGCCGUAAACGAUGGACACUCGUCCUGUGGCGGUUCAAUGCCGUUGCGGGACCAAGCUAACGCGGAAGUGUCCCGCCUGGGGACUACGAGCGCAAGCUUAAAACUCAAAGGAAUUGACGGGGGCCCGCACAAGCAGCGGAGCGUGUGGUUUAAUUCGACGCAACGCGCAGAACCUUACCCAGAUUUGACAUGUGUCUGCAAGCCCGUGAAAGCGGGUCGCCUUCGAGGGUGACACACAGGUGCUGCAUGGCUGUCGUCAGCUCGUGUCGUGAGAUGUUGGGUUAAGUCCCGCAACGAGCGCAGCCCCCGCGGCCAGUUAUACGUGUCUGGCCGGACUGCCCUUCGGGGAGGAAGGCGGGGAUGACGUCAAGUCCGCAUGGCCCUUACGUCUGGGGCGACACACACGCUACAAUGGCGCCGACAAUGCGCCGCAACCGAGCAAUCGGAAGCCAAUCGCAUAAACGGCGUCUCAGUGCAGAUCGAGGGCUGAAACUCGCCCUCGUGAAGGCGGAGUUGCUAGUAACCGCGCAUCAGCUAUGGUGCGGUGAAUACGUACCCGGGCCUUGUACACACCGCCCGUCACGUCAUGGGAGUUGGCAAUGCCUGAAGUCCGUGGGCCAACCGCAAGGGGGCAGCGGCCGAGGGCAGGGCCAGCGACUGGGACG
rnacentral:rRNA from 1 species